UACGGGGGGAGCAAGCGUUGUUCGGAUUUACUGGGCGUAAAGGGCGCGUAGGCGGCCACUGCAAGUCAGUUGUGAAAUCUCCGGGCUUAACCCGGAAAGGUCAACUGAUACUGCAGGGCUAGAGUGCAGAAGGGGCAACUGGAAUUCUCGGUGUAGCGGUGAAAUGCGUAGAUAUCGAGAGGAACACCUGCGGCGAAGGCGGGUUGCUGGGCUGACACUGACGCUGAGGAGCGAAAGCGUGGGGAGCGAACAGG
rnacentral:rRNA from 1 species